rnacentral:lncRNA from 1 species
CAGGCAAUCUUUGAAAGGAACUAAAAUUGAAAGCAUACAGAGAGGCAGAAAGAGCUGGCCCAAAAAGUGACACUCAGUGGUGGUCUUUUCUCCUUUCAGUUCUUUGUUCAUAUCAUUCACCCACUUUUUGAUGUUUUUUUUUGUGUUUUUUCUUGUAAAUUUGUUUAAGUUGCUUGUGGAUUCUGGAUAUUAGACCUUUGUCAGAUGAAUAGAUUGCAAAAAUUUUCUCCCAUUCUGUAGGUUGCCUGUUCACUCUGAUGAUAGUUUUCUUUCACCACGGCCAGCUAAUUUUUGUAUUUUUAGUAGAGACAGGGUUUCACCAUGUUGGUCAGGCUGGUGUCGAACUCCUCAACUCGCUAUCUGCCCACCUAGGCCU